CAGUAGCCACGGUAAUACGUAGGGUCCGAGCGUUGUCCGGAAUUACUGGGCGUAAAGCGUGCGCAGGCGGUUAUAUAAGACAGAUGUGAAAUCCCCGGGCUCAACCUGGGAACUGCAUUUGUGACUGUAUAGCUAGAGUACGGCAGAGGGGGAUGGAAUUCCGCGUGUAGCAGUGAAAUGCGUAGAUAUGCGGAGGAACACCGAUGGCGAAGGCAAUCCCCUGGGCCUGUACUGACGCUCAUGCACGAAAGCGUGGGGAGCAAACAGGAUUAGAUACCCCGGUAGUCCCUGUCUCUUAUAC
rnacentral:rRNA from 1 species